rnacentral:lncRNA from 1 species
GUCCUCAAUAAACUUUCGACGUUUUUGAUGUUCUCGGACUUUCCGAAGCACACCAACUCGACAAUUAGUCGAUUUUAAACAUAGUCAAAUCCUCGAAUUUCGAGAAUUCACCUCCCUUACAAUAUAUCCCGCUUGAAUUCCUCCCACAACAUUGGCGGAAGAUCGGAAGGCCGAUCCCGCUUCACGCACUUCCACCACACCUUCGCCGCUUUCUCCAAGCAAUGGGUGGCGAGGUACACCUUAUCCCUCUCCAAGGUACGCAAAUCAUCGAAGAGGGUUUCCAUCGAGUCGAUCCAAGACUCGACCAUCGCCGGCUCCACCUUCUUGCCCUCAAAAGUUGGCGGAUGGAACUUGUUAAACUUGAUAAGAGCCGCCAAUGCGCGCUCUCCUUCCACAUCUUCGGCCGUCACAUCGGGUGUAGCCGAUCCCGACGCCGCAAGAGGAACAAUUGUCGGCGGGGGACGCGCCGCCACCGGAACCGCCGCUAUACCCUCACCCUCAGCUGGCUCAGGCACGCGAGUCAAGGGUACGGGCACCUCGCAUCCAUCCGUCGCCGUUGCGACCGCCGCCGCAGCCUGCCGCUCCAAGAGCUCCUGGAGCCGCUCGAAUCGGGUCUCCUGGCGCUGCACCACAUCGGUCAGCGCAGUCACUUGCGCUUGCAACCGAUCCAUCACGCUCGGUUCAUCCUGCUCGGGCACCUCAGAAGUUGGUGCUGGGGCAGAUCUACGAGUGUAGCGUCUUGGAGACAUUAGUCCCUGAAACGCAAAUACUUGGUCAGUCAUCUUAACCAAUUACCUCGUCGAACUUACGACACAAGACGACUCCCUAACGAAAUCGAGCGGAAGCAUACAAGCAUACUCGUUCUAGAUUCUUGGCAUCACGUCGUCGGCCGCCGACAUAACCACCUCAAAUCAAGAACUAAUACCACUUGAAUCCGUCUCUAUUCACAACUAGAGACAUAUUAUCAACUUCGACCCAAUCGAAUUAACUUCCGCCAUCGUUAUAGGUUCACGUUCCGCUCACGCACCUAUAACCUUAGGGCUCACCAACUAGGGUCUCCUAGGUCAUCCUAGACUUUCUCUCUCUACUUGCUCUUGUUGCUCUGAUACCACUAUACCUGUCACACCCCGCCCCGAAACCACUACCAGUUUGGCAUGAUUCGGGCGCGGCGGCGGACCGCCGAACGGACAGCACCUCCCCUGUCCGCCCAAGGCUCAACAACGGGAAUGUGUACAAGAAUUUACCCAGGAAUUUAAAUUCUAAACAUACACAUUCAACGAGGGCACAAACAGUGCCAACAACAAGAAGAGCAAGCAAUCCACAAGAAUGACAUGUGAAAUAAAGAGAGGACUUUACUAACUAUUACAAUAGUUUGCAUUCUUUUUCAUUUACAUCAUUUUCUCAAAAUGUAUACAUUUGAUCCUCAAAAUACAUAGCCCUCCAACCUCACCUACAUGAAUCUCUCUCAAUACAUAGGUGUGCUAAUGCAAAAGGAAAGCUACUAUACUACCGCGGUCUCACUGGUCGGCGGAUCCUUGCCCCGUCCUCUCUCGGCAACCUGUACUACACUGGAAUAGAGUGGGGGUGAGAACUACUUUCCAUAGUUCCAGUGGGCUCGGACGCGACUCUGCCGAUCUUCCCCACUAGGUCAAGUGGGCACAAGCAAAAAAGAUAGAUAGAUAGAUAGAUAUCUGAAAGCUGUAAAUGCGAUAGUAGGAACAACUAUGCUAACUAUGCCCAAAAUCAUGAAUAUGAAUGCAUGCAUCAUAUAAUAAAGGUUUGCUACCAUGCUAACAAAUUCGAUACAUGUUCGAAUAGUAAUGUUCAAUGACAUUUUUAAACGUUUAUCUUUCCAUUUACCCAAUCUGUGGCGAGACCCUGGGGCUCGUCAAUGACUCACCUUUCAAUCCCAAAGUAGGGAGGGAGCUCCAAGUGCACCCAAGCCCGGGACCGUCUGCGGACCUCCAUGUGGUCCGGACCUCCAAGUGGUCCUAAUCGCACGACACUCCGGAGUACUCGACGACAAUCCCCUCCAUGUGGGGAUAGGAUGGCUAUACCACCCCAAAGCAGACUGUGAGCUAGAUCUAUCCUCUCCAAGUGAGGAUACACUACACUAGGGUCAACAACCCAAUCAAAUCCUCUCCAAGUGAGGAUGCUCUACAACUAGAGUCAACAUCUCUCGCGGAAUCAUUUGUUCCCGACAUUCAUGCAAUGCUAUUUAGCUUUCUAAAUUCAUUGUUCACAAGGCAUUUUCUAAGGGAUCCACCUAUCCCUAGGUUCUCAAACCUCUAGUGUUAUUUACACUACAUUAAUGCCACUCAUCAUCAUUUAACGUUUGGAUGCCACUUAUGUGUUCCUUGACACUAACCACUACUUUCUAUGUCAUCAACACCCCCAUUGGGUUCAUCUCUUUUCUUUCGCAUCAUAGGAUCCACGUUCCGACCCAAUCCUCACCUAUCUAAGUUACCAAGCGUUCCAAGUACACUAGGUUAUCAAUUAGAAAGCAUAAGGAAAGGUACUACUAUGCAAUCCUACAAUACAACAUGCAAGAGAUGAGAUUAAAUGCAAUCUAAGACAUAGAAUGGAGUUCGAAAGCUUCGGGAUGGCACCCCCCACCUUUUAUCGAUGAAGAGGCUUUAGAAAUGAUCCUCGGCGAACUUUACGAAAAGGCUUUAGCCUUCCUUGCCUAAGACAAUGCUAGAUCGGCCUCGUUUUGCCGAUAACUUCACGCCGGCUCGCCGAAUGCUAAAACCGACUUCGCCCCCACAUUUUGUGACCUAGCAAUUAGGUUUCCAAGGCUUCAAAUGAGAUCAAUCUCAUACUUUCUCAAAAACCCCAUUUUGGAGCCCUAGGUUUGCACCUAUAGCAAACCACCAAUAAAUCCCUAGAUUUCUUGGGAUUGAUCUAUUUAGAAGCUUGCUUAGGGUCCAUUUGAUCCAUUCCUAAGCAUCAAAACCCAAAACCCUAAGUUCUAAAAGCUAGGGUUCAAGAGCUUACCUCUUGAGCUACUCCAAAGAGAAGAUAAGAGGGAGAUGAAGGUGUCCAAGGCCUUCCUCUUGGUCUCCUUCUUCUUCUUCUUCUUUUUUUCUUCUUCUCCUUUUCCUUCCUCUCCUUCUUGUUCCUCUUUUUCUUCUUCUCCUUCUAGGGAGAGAGAGGGUGAGAAAAUAUGAGAGGGAGAGAGUGUGAGUGAGGGUGAGAGAGGAAGAGGGCUCAGCCCCUCUAAUCCCUCCCUAACUAAUGCCAUUUUGCACAAAAACCCCUCAACUUUUAAUACUAUACACUGCCCUUACUGGGCAGAAUUCGCGUGGAGGGACCGGUCUCCCCGACUUGGGACCGGUCCCCAAGGGCCUUCCUCGGGCGCACACGUUCGGGAACCGGUCCCUCCCCGGGAGACCGGUCCUCGGGAGACCGGUCCUCGCCUGAGAGACCGGUCCCCGAGAGCUCGAUUUUCAGGACUUAGCCAAAUUUCAGCAUUUCUCGCCGGGACCACGUUCAGGAACCGGUCCCUCCCUGCUAGGGACCGGUUGCACCAAGCAACCCCGCACACCCAGCCGAUGGAACCGGUCUCUCACCUCCAGGGACCGGUCCCCGAGAGUAACAUCAGCCCAAUGAUGCUGUUUGCACCAUUUGCUCUCGUGGACUCAACUCCAAGGCACUUUUUGUGCUUUGGACAUCUUUAAUUUCCCCAAAGGGUAUUCUCUCGAAAAAUAGUCGAUCCUGGACGAAGUACAACUCUCGGAUUUCGAGAAUUCACUUCCUUACACCGACAGCGAAACAGACUAGUGAGUAUGAUCCAAUCCUCUCAAGAGGAUACCCUAUCUACUAGGGUCAAUGUGCCUCUGCUGCACAGUCAUGAUAUAUAUAAUCAAUGUUGGAACUUCUACUAUCCCUAAGUUCAUGUCAAGUUUACUACACUAGACUCAAUGCCACUCAUUUAGUCAUUGUAGUAAAUGUCUCAAUUAUUCUACAUGCCACUCGUUCAUGUUUAGUGUUUCUACUGCACUAGUCAAUGCCACUCUACUAGGCUAUCAUGUGUCCAAGUUCGGCUCUUUAUGCCAUUAUAGGAUUUUCAUGUCACAAGACCCAAUCCUCAUGCUACCCUAGUCCAUGUGUUCGACUCAUAAGUUACACUACUAAGAAGCAUGCAAGGAAAAGGAAAUGUACAUCUAUUAACCCUAUAAUGCAAUAUGAUCAACAUAUAUAUAACUUAGACAUAAAAAGAAACCCGGAUGCUUCGGGAUGACACCCCCCACCUCUUGAGGGUAUGAAGGCUCUAGAAAUGCCCUCCAACGGACGUUACGACAAAGUCUUGGUCUUCUUGGUCCAAAAUGACGCUCAAUCGGCCUUGUUUUGCCGAUAGCUCUUGACCCACUUGACGAAUGCGAAAUCCAACCUCGCCCCCGCGUUUAGCCACCUACCAAUUAGGUUAGAGGAGGGUCAAAUGAGAUCAAUCCUCUACUUUUCCAAAAACCCUAUUUUGGAGUCCUAGGGUUCCCAUCUUGCCAUUUGCAAUUUGGAACCCUAACUCUAGCUUCAAUCCACCAACAAUGGUGCUUGGGUUCCAUUUGACCCCAUUCCCAAAGCUAAAAACCAAAAAACCCCAAAUUUCACAAGCUAGGGUUAGAAGCUUAACUCUAGGUUAGCUCCAAGAGAGAAGAGAGGAAGAGGGAGAGGUCCAAAGCCUUCCUAGAUUGAUCUUCUUCUUCUUCUCCUUCCUUUUCUUCCUUCUUUUCCUUCUGUUUCCUUCUUUUUCUUCUUUUUCUUCUUUUCUUCUAGAGAGAGAGAUGGAGAAAGAGUGUGAGAGAGAGAGGGAGUAGAAUGAGAGAGUGAGGGAGUAAUCUCCCAUGUAUACCCCUCUAACUAAGGCCAUUUUGCAUAAAAGCCCCUCACCUUUCAUCUCUGUGCACUGCCCUCACUGGGCUGUCUGCGCGCGGAGGGACCGGUCUCCCCGACUUGGGACCGGUCCCCGAGAGCUUCAGCUCGGGUCACGCGUUCGGGUACCGGUCUCUCCCAGAGAGACCGGUCCUCGGGAGACCGGUUCCUUCCUGAGAGACCGGUUCCCGAGAGCUGGGAUUUAGGACUUAGCCAAAUUUUGGCUUUUCUCGCUGGGAUCACGUUCGGGAACCGGUCCCUCACUGCCAGGGACCGGUUGCCUCAAGCAACCCCCGCAACACCAGCCGAUGGGACCGGUCCCUCCCUGCCAGGGACCGGUCCCCGAGAGCAAUUUUGCUCCAGUGCAGAUUUUGCACUAUUUACUCCCGUGGACUCGUUUCCAAUGCACUUUUGGUGAUUUGAAUACCUUUGGCUUUUUUUUCCAAGGUACACCAACACGACCCUUGGUCGAUUCUGGAUGAAGUCUAAUCCUCGUAUUUCAAGAAUUCACUUCCUCACAAGCUUACCUCAAACAAAGUCCUCCCAUGGUGAGGAAGAAGAUGAGAAGAAGAAGCUUCCUCUUCUUAGCUUCCUUCUCCUCCUUUGUUCUCUUUUUCUUCUUUUCCUUUUCCUUUCCUUCCCUUUCUUUCUUCUUCUCCUUCUUGUCUUCUAGAGAGAGAAAGAGAGGAGAGAGUGUGAGAGGGUGUGAGGAAAUGAGAGAAGGCCCUCAUAACCCCCUCAACAUAACCCAUAUAUUGCAUAAAUGCAAAUAAGCCCCUCAGCUUUUAUUCUGUUACACUGCCCAGACUGGGCGCUUCUCGCGCUCGGGGACCAGUCUCCCCGACAAGGGACCGGUCCCAGAGAGCUCUCCCUGAAGCUGGCAAAGCUCCAGCUUGAUGCAACCGGUCUCUCUCUGGGGGACCGGUCUCUCGGGGACCGGUCUCUCCCCGCAGGGACCGGUUCCCAAGAGCAGGUUUUCUGGGACUUCGCCAAACUUUUCCUUUUCUCACCUUUCACGCGUACGGGGACCGGUCUCUCCUUCAGAGACCGGGGACCGGUCUCUCCUUCAGAGACCGGUCCCCGAGAGCUGAAAACCUGCAGAAUGCAGAUUUUUGACUUUUAAGCUCUCGAAGACCUCCCAUAACGCACUUUUGAUCAUCUUAACACCUUCGGACUUUCCGAAGUGUACCAUCCUCACACCUUGGUCAAUUUGACUAAAGUUCGAUAUUUAUUUUCCGAACUUUCGGUAUAUUUCAGUAGCCUUGCUCGGCAUAUUAAUAUACAUUAGGUGCAUAUAAUUAUUUCCCCUUUUUUCAAUUAAUUUUACCAACAUAAACACACCUUCAUCUUUUCAACAAUUUAAAAUAGGGUUAAUUGCAUACACGUCCCUGCAAACAUGGUGAAUUGCAGAUAUAUCCCUGCAAAACUAAAUUUUCAUAAGUUGUCCCUGCAAAAGUCCUAAUAUAUGCAGAUAUGUCCCUGCUGUUAGGGUCUGUUAAAAAAUUUCGUUAACCACAGUUAAAAACUUAAUCAUGGUUAAUUAAUAAUGUGAAUUGACGGUUUUACCCUUCUUCCUCUUCCUCCUCUUCCUCUUCCCUCUUUUUCGACGCCGGCGAGGAAGGAGAUGCGGCGGUGAACCCUCUCCCUCUCCCUCUUUCUCUCCCUCUUUCUCUUCUCCCUUCUUCUUCCUUCCCUCUUCCUCUUCCAUCUUCUUCGUCGCCGGCGAGGAAGGAGAUGCGGCGGCGGCGGCGAACCCUCUCCCUCUUCCCUCUUCCCCUCCCUCCUCAUUCCCUUCUUCCUCUUCUCUCUUCUUCUUCCUCCCCUUCUUCCUCUUCCCUCUUCUUCUUCCUCCCCUUUUUCCUCUUCCCUCUUCUUCUUUCUCUUCUUCUUUCUCUUCCAUCUUAUUCGUUGCCGGGGAACCCGACCCCGAUCUUGCCGAAGCGCCGCCGCCGCCGUCCGCUCCGACGGCCCGAAGAGGGAGAGAAAGAGAAAGAGGAAAUACUUUUGGAGGGACAUAUUUGUGAGGGCAAAAAUAUUAUUUCACAAAUCCACUGUUAAAAAAUAAACAGUUCACUAAUGGAUGUUAACCAGAGGGACAUAUCUGCAUACAUUAGGACUUUUGCAGGGACAAUGUAACAUAUCGCAUCCCCGUAGAACGUGCCAAGUUCCGUCGAAAUGAGCGGAACGCGGAGUCGGAUGAGUUACAAUGGGUUCUAAGUGCAUUAGGACCUUAGUAUAGAGUAAAGGGACCUAAGAGAGCAAAAUUGUGAAAAUCUGGCUAAGUCCCAGAUUUUGAGCUCUCGGGUCCGGUCCUUGCGGGGAGAGACCAGUCCCCGUAGGUUGGAAAAUUGCCCAGCGGCUAAGUUCUGAAAAUCGUGCCCUCAGGAACCAGUCCCUGGAGGAGAGACCGGUCGCCGUGCGCGUAGCCAGCCAAAAAGAGUGAAAAUUUAGCUAAGUCCUGAGAGGUGUGCUCUCGGGAACCGGUCCCUACGGGGAGAGACCGGUCCCCGUAUGCGAAUUCUGCCCAGGAUGGGCUGUUGUGAAAAAUGGAAUUGAGAGGGGUUUAAGUGCAAAUCUGCCAUGUGUAGGUGUAUAGAAGUGAAUGGUAUUGAAUGAGAGCUCAUUUGCUCUCAUGCCAAUACCUAGGGCAACCCUCUCUAUCUCUAAAAACCUCUCUUCUCUCUCUCCUUCUCUCUAGAGCUUGGACCAAGGAGGCUUUUUGGAGGGAUCUAGGUAGAGAAGAAGAAGAAGUAGAAGGUGUAGCUUGCAAGAGUGCAAGUGUACAAGGAAGGCUUGGACUCCAAGGUGAGUUUCUAAGGUUUUGAGUUAGUGUUUGAGUAAUAGCUUCUUGUAUGAGUAUCUAGGAGCUUCUAUGGUGAUUUCCCCCAUGUUAUUCCUGUAAAAGGACUAGUUUUGGGGAAGAUGACAUUGUUGAGGGACCUAAGGUUAGGGUUUUGGAAUUUUGAGGUUCAAUCUUGGGAUUGAUCUCUUUUUAACCUAAUUGGUAGGUCAACGAACGCGUUGGUGCGCUCAGUUCGGCGAAACGACGAGCGUGCGCGGAGAUAUUGCGAAAAGAAGCUAAAUUGGUACAGAUUGCCGCAGCUUGCGGCGUAGAAGUCUAAAAAUCGUGAAAAUUGGAUUGCGGCAUCUUAGCAUCACCAAGAGGUGGGGGGUGCUAUCCAGAAACACCGAAUUUCCUUCUAUGUCUAUAUUAUCAUUAUUGAAUAUAUUGAUGUUAGCAUUCAUGCAUAUAGGGUAGUGUGAUGAAUAUGAUUGGUUGAGAUUCAAUUGUAUGCUAGAGAACAUAUGAAUUGAUGUAGAACCAUAUGAACUAAGAAUGUGAAAAAUCCUAUGUGUAUGUGAAUGUAUGAAAAUGAGACUAUGACAAUAGUAAACAAUGGUGAUAUUGACAUUAGUGACGAGAUUGGCACUGAGCAUAAGAACGGCUAAACAAGGUUUAACCUAGAAUGGCAUCAGGACCAUUGUGGCUCAGAUAUAGUGGGAAUGUGAUAUGGUAAUGACCUAUCCUUGGCAUUGAGGCUUUGUGCAUUGAGACAGGUUUGGCAAUACUUCCUCAAUUUGAGGAUUGGAUCGUACUCACACUGGCUUUGGCUUAAGGGAGGUAGCUCCCCCUCAAGCGGUGUACUCCUGAGUGUAUACACCACGGGGAGAGGCCUCGUCAUUGUUCCCUCGGGUAGUAGUGCUAGUAGCCUCCCCCGGUAGAUGGGAAUUGUGGUUCGUGAGUUUGGGGUGAACCAUGUGUACCCCGGGAUGAUUGGGUAAAGGCCAAAGAAAAUGAGAACAAGGACAUGCAUGCAUAAUAUUAUGAAUACGAAUAUCUAUCUGUGGAUUGUUUUCUUGCAGGCAUUGUAUUAGAAGUGUAUUAGUUGGUUUGUUAUCUUCCUUUAUUGAAAUACAUAUGCCUCAAUAGACCCAAUGGGCGAGUCGGCGCGGUCGGCGGCCGAACCCACUGGGAACUUCUUUUAGUUCUCACACCACCACUAACCCUGCAGAUCCAUGCGCAAGCGGGACGGCGGAGGAUCGAGGCAAGGGAUUAGCGGCGUAGUUAGCGGCCCACAGAGUUAUAGGCAUACCCUAUGCUGGAGUAUUCAACUUUUGUAUGUUGAACUAAGAAAUGCAAAGAGAUGUAAAUCAUAUUUUGGUUGAUAGACAAUGUGAUGUAAAUGUGAAUGAAUGAGAAUGAAUGUAAAUGUAAUAGAUUACUUGUGUUUGAUUAAAAUGUAAUCAAAUGACAUGUAUGUGGGUAAAUGUUUAGUUUAGUAUCGAUGCUUUCACGUGAGAUGGUUGUUGUUUGCCCUCGUGUAAACGUUAUAUAAUUGCAUUCAUUUGUGUUGAAUUGCUUGUAUUAUACAUGUUGUUGGAGCCUUAGGCGGACAGGGGAGGUGCAGUCCGUUCGGCGUCUGUUCGCGUGCCCGAACCGACCAAAUUGACGGCUCCGGGGCAUGACAGACAACUUAUGGAAAUUGUAUUUUGCAGGGAUAUAUCUGCAAUUCACUAUGUUUGCACCGACGUGUAUGCAAUUAACCCUUUAAAUAAGUCAUUAAAGUUUAACAUUUUAGUUAAAAAAAGUUUAUACAAUAGCUACUAAAACUAUUAAAUUUGAUUAAACUAUUAAAUAAAAUUGUUAGAAUAGAAAAAGUUAAAAAAUAUCUAUAAAAUAUAUGAAUUCUCAAUGCAGUUGGGUCACAUCUAACAAAAACAGAUAGUGACGUCAUCAAUUAAACAAUAAACUAAUGAGAACUUGCCAAUUGUCCGAUGAAAAUUUGGAUGUACCCAUUAACCAACUUUAAAAAUUAUAAAAUAUAUGAAUUCUCAGUGCAGUUGGGUAACAUCCAACAAAAACAGAUAGUGACAUCAUCAAUUAAACAAUAAACUAAUGAAAACUUGCCAAUUGUCCAAUGAAAAUUUGGAUGUACCCACAAACCAACUUUAAAAUACACAUAAAAGAUAAAUUUAUAUUAUUCAAUAAAAUUUUAUAUUGUAUAUUUUAUAUUAUAUUAUAUUUUAUAAUAUUAAUUAUUAAAUAUUUUAUCAAUCAUUUAAUACACCAUGUAGUAUAUGAAGCAUUAGUAUGGGAUAUUAUAUUAAUAUACGUUAGGUGCAUAUAAUAGUUUCGUAUUUUUUCAAUUAAUUUUACCAAGAUAAACACACCUUCAUCUUUUCAAUAAUUUAAAAUAUGUCAUUAAAGAUUAACAUUUUAGUUAAAAAAAGUUUAUACAAUAGCUACUAAAACUAUUAAAUUUGAUUAAACUAUUAAAUAAAAUUGUUAGAAUAGAAAAAGUUAAAAAAUAUCUAUAAAAUAUAUGAAUUCUCAAUGCAGUUGGGUCACAUCUAACAAAAACAGAUAGUGACGUCAUCAAUUAAACAAUAAACUAAUGAGAACUUGCCAAUUGUCCGAUGAAAANAAAAUAUUAUAUAUUCGUCACGGGAUUCUCCAUUAGUAGAAUGGUUGGGGUUGGGGCCACUUUUUUUCUUUUUCCUUUUUUUUUUUUUUCUCGGCUUUCCAUCCAAUUCGUUUAUCUCACAUGUUCCACUGAUUUGUGUAGGGGGGAUAAUUUCUAUCCAAACGAAUUCCCCUCUCUUAUUAUAAAAAUUUUAAAAGUAUUUAAUUUUUUUACACAUAAUAUUUUAUAUAGGUUAGAUUGGUUAUAUUAAAUAUAAAUUUUGAUUUAUAAUAUUAAUCGCUUAAAAAUAGGUUGUACAACAAAAAUAAAAAAAGAGAGAUAGAUUGACGGAGUUUAAUUAAGUUAAUUAUUUAUACUAAUAUAUUAAUUUAUAGUUGUGAGAACUGUAUAAAGUAUACUAACUAAAUCUAUAUAGAUAAACGAUACAUUCAAAUUUCAAAGUCAAAAUAUUAUUGACUGGCUCAAAUCAAAUAAAUUGAAAGUUUGGAUCGUAAAAAUAAAAUUUGAAAGAUUAGAUAGAUGAUUCAAAUUGGUCUAUAAUUUAGGAAAGUUUUACAUGUUUUUAUUUUGAUUUUAAUAACAAACCGUAACGUCAUAUUUAUAGUUGAUGAGCGAUCAACCUCACACUUAGAAUUUUUAGAAAUAUCCAAAAUAUUGUAAUUAGGUAUUCUAAACUUUAUUAGAUAAUUUAGUAGGUUUAUUUCUUGAAUGAAAUUACUGCUUGAACAAAAUCGAUCAAUGUUCAACUCCUUACUUCAUCUGGAAUAAAAAUAAAAAUAUAUGUAUGCUGUCUAUCUCUCAAAAAAGAAUAAAUAGUAAAAAAGUAAAUUACACUUUUUGUCACGCCCCGCGACCGCUACCAAUUUGGUCCGGCCCGGGCGCGUCGAACAGACGCCGAACGGACAGGACCUCCCCUGUCCGUCCAAGGCUAACCAACAGAUCGUGCAUAAGAAUUUACCCAGGAAUCAAUUCAUAAAUACACGAUCAAUAAGCACCACUAGUGCCAUAAACAAGAGCAAGAUACAAGUAUAGAAACAUAUACAAGUACAUAAGAGAGAAGAGACUAUCUAUUACAUUCAUUUGAUUUACUACAUUUAGAUACAUCUUUUACAUUCUUCCAAAAUAUAAAUACAAGCAAUCAACCCUCGCCCUAUACAACAUCUACUCUCAAAUACAAAAGGGGUGACGGCUAAUGCAAGAAGAGGAGGUAGCUAAUGCGACUAGAACGCCGGGCCCUUACCGCGAUCCUCACGCUCACCGGGGACACCCGAACUGGAACCUGUGGUAAAAUGGGGGUGAGAACUAACUUCCUUAGUUCCCAGUGGGUUCGGCCGCCGACUCCGCCGAUCUCCCCACUAGGUCCAAGCGGGCAUAAGUAGACAAUCGAUAGAUAGGUAGAUAGAUAAGGAAAGCUGUAAAUGGCGGAAAUGAAGCUACGCUACCAUGCCCAAUCAUAAGUAUAUGAAUGCAUGUCCAAUGAAAUAGGUAAGCAACUAAUCUGUUAUCAUGUCCAAGGGUGAAGCUAUUCACUCGUUCAUUAACCUCAUUUACUUGUUCAUUAAUCUCAUGGCUUACCCGAAGGCUCGCCUACAGCUCACUAGCCAUCUCGACACGUAGGGAGAAUUAACUCACACUACGGACCCGAGACCGUCUGGCGGGGCCAAAUAGGCAAUCCCUGGCGUGACCAACAUCCGGAGCGCACUACUUGUGUGGGGCUUCCAUCACAAGAUUUAACAGACCGUGAGCAUGAUCCAAUCCUCUAAGCUCGAGGAUACCCUGUCCUCUAGAGUCACAAUCAUCAUAUAGUCCAUAGGUGUCGCAUACACUAUUAACUAGAUUGUCCGUUUGUCCGCUAUCGACUAGAUGCCACUCGUUCAUAGUUUACUAUUAACUAGAUGCCACUCGUUCAUAGUUCAUCAUUUUCUCUACAUCAUAGGAUUCACAAUCUCGACCCAAUCCUUAUCAAUCCAAUAUAUCAAUUAUCCGAUGUACGCUACGAUACCAUGAAGGAAAAACAUAAGGAAAGGCAAUGCAUACUAAUCCUAUAAUGCAAUAAUACAAGAUGCAAGAUCAAAUAUACUAAGACAUAGGAGGGAGCCCGAUUGCUUCGGGAUGGACACCACCCACCUCUUGGCGAUGCCGUGAUAGUAGAAAACUCGACGUUGGGGUUCUUGUACGCCGCUUCAACUCCUCGGGGCGAAGCGAGCCCUCGAGUACCCGAUUCGGCGAUUUCUCCGCACCCGCUCGUCGGAUCGAGAAACCGACUUCGCCGACGCGUUCCGGGACCUAGCAAUUAGGUUUGCGACCUAUUAGAUUAGAUCAAAACCCUAGAUUUACCAAAAACCCAAUUCCGUGCCCUAGGAUGGCAACGGGGAAGAAAUCCGUGGUGCGAGCUUCAAUUGCGAGCUCGAACCUUCUCCCUAGUUCCAUUAGGUCCCAUUCAAACCAUAAAAACCCCAAAACCCUAGAAACACCAUUAAAGGGUUUAGAGCUUACCCCUACACAAGGUUCCUUCAAGCUUGAGGGAGAGGGAGAGAAGAAGAUAUCUUCUUCUUCUUCUUCUUCUUAGUCUUCUCUUUCUCUUUCUUCUUCUUUCUCUUCUUCUUCUCCUUCCUCUUCUUCUUCUCCUUCUUCUCUUUCUUUUCUUUUCUUUCUUAGAGAGAGAGAGAAAAGAGGGUAAGAGAGAGAGAGAAAGCAGCUGAGAGUGAGAGAGAGGGGUCCCCCACCUCUAAUAAAGGCCAUUUUGCAUAAAAGCCCCUCAACUUUCACCCUAGUGCACUACCCUCACUGGGCAGUUUUCGCGCGGAGGGACCGGUCUCCCCGACUUGGGACCGGUCCCCGAAGGCUGCCAUUUCGAGCAGAGGGAUUUUCGCGUUCGGGAACCGGUCCUUGCCUGAGAGACCGGUCCCCGGGAGACCGGUCCUUGUCCGAGAGACCGGUUCCCGAGAGCUGCAUUCUCGGGACUUAGCCAAAUUUGGCUAAAUCUCGUCGGGCCAACGUUCGGGAACCGGUCCCUGCCCACCAGGGACCGGUCUCAUCAGAGACCUCCGCAACCCAGCCUGAUGGAACCGGUCCCUCCCUGCCAGGGACCGGUCCCCGAGAGCAUUUCUGCUCCAGUGCAGAUUUUGCACUGGUGCUCCCGCGGACCCUUCUUUAAUGCACUUUAUGCAUUAUAAUCGCCUUCGGGCUUUCCGAAGCCUACGCACUCGACGAAUAGUCGAUUCUGGUCGAAGUCUAAUCCUCGAGUUUCGAGAAUUCACUUCCUUACAUCCUUCCCACCUUAAAAGAGUUUCGUCCUCGAAACGAACUCAAUACUCCAAAACUUGAUUAGAAUUUCAAAUUCUAAAUUCAUACCUCAAUUUAGCCUUCAAACAGGCGAGGAUGAUUCGCCUUCAUCUCCUC